rnacentral:rRNA from 1 species
GAUGAACGCUGGCGGCGUGCCUAAUACAUGCAAGUCGAGCGAACGGAUGAGAAGCUUGCUUCUCUGAUGUUAGCGGCGGACGGGUGAGUAACACGUGGAUAACCUACCUAUAAGACUGGGAUAACUUCGGGAAACCGGAGCUAAUACCGGAUGAUAUUUUGAACCGCAUGGUUCAAAAGUGAAAGACGGUCUUGCUGUCACUUAUAGAUGGAUCCGCGCUGCAUUAGCUAGUUGGUAAGGUAACGGCUUACCAAGGAAACGAUGCAUAGCCGACCUGAGAGGGUGAUCGGCCACACUGGAACUGAGACACGGUCCAGACUCCUACGGGAGGCAGCAGUAGGGAAUCUUCCGCAAUGGGCGAAAGCCUGACGGAGCAACGCCGCGUGAGUGAUGAAGGUCUUCGGAUCGUAAAACUCUGUUAUUAGGGAAGAACAUAUGUGUAAGUAACUGUGCACAUCUUGACGGUACCUAAUCAGAAAGCCACGGCUAACUACGUG